rnacentral:rRNA from 1 species
UGGGGAAUUUUGGACAAUGGGCGAAAGCCUGACGCAGCGACGCCGCGUGAGUGAUGAAGGCCUUCGGGUUGUAAAGCUCUGUGGGGAGAGAAGAAUAAGUGCGGGCUAAUACUCCGCAUGAUGACGGUAUCUCCUUAGCAAGCACCGGCUAACUCUGUGCCAGCAGCCGCGGUAAGACAGAGGGUGCAAACGUUGUUCGGAAUUACUGGGCGUAAAGCGAGUGUAGGCGGUUUGGUAAGUCGGAUGUGAAAGCCCCGGGCUCAACCCGGGAAGUGCACUCGAUACUGCCAAGCUAGAGUAUCGGAGAGGUUGGUGGAAUUCUCGGUGUAGAGGUGAAAUUCGUAGAUAUCGAGAGGAACACCGGUGGCGAAGGCGGCCAACUGGACGAAUACUGACGCUGAGACUCGAAAGCGUGGGGAGCAAACAGGAUUAGAUACCCUUGUAGUCCCUGAGCGGGCUGGCAAGGCGCAU